AGCACUAAUGAUAGCUUGAUGAGCUUGC
rnacentral:sRNA from 1 species